GACAGCAGCAGCCGCGGGAACACGAAGGGUGCAAGCGUUAAUCGGAAUUACUGGGCGUAAAGCGCACGUAGGCGGAUUCUUAAGUCAGAGGUGAAAUCCCAAGGCUCAACCUUGGAACUGCCUUUGAUACUGGGGAUCUUGAGUCCGGGAGAGGUGAGUGGAAUUCCGAGUGUAGAGGUGAAAUUCGUAGAUAUUCGGAAGAACACCAGUGGCGAAGGCGGCUCACUGGCUCAUACUGGACGCUGAGGUGCGAAAGCGUGGGGAGCAAACAGGAUUAGAUACCCCUGUAGUCCCUGUCUCUUAUAC
rnacentral:rRNA from 1 species